UCAGAAGUUCAAGAACAAGUAAUCAAAGUUUAAGGAGGAGGAUGAUCGUCGCGCGACGUCAAGCCUUCCCCUUUCCAGCUAAAACUUCCUUUGCCCAUGGUAUCCAAAUCAAAACGAUCGAAUUUUUACCAUUCCGUUCUCCAAAAGACGUGAUUUUUCCUGAAUUUCGAAAAAUUGAGUGUUAGAAGUUUCAAAAACGAAGACGAUCAGCUUAUUAUCCUCACGUUUGAAUCAUUUCUUUUAUUUUGAUAUAAUAUUUUCUGUUUUAUCUGGUCGGCGGGGAGCAGACGAAGGCUGCUUAGAAGAACGGGAAGGCGACCUCUAGAAAGUCGCGGGAAUGGAGGAGAAAGCGGUGGACCGGAGGGCCGAUGAUGGCGCAAGACGGCUUUAUUUGUUUGGUGUCUCUUUUAAUCUUUUAUGUAUUUAUUUACUCGAUACUCAUAAGAAGAUGAUCUACUUCUUCUUUUUUUGACUAUUUAAUUAAAGUCUGCAGCACGGGCCGAGUUAUUUA
rnacentral:lncRNA from 1 species